AGUAUAAGGCAGCUUCCUGUGUCCUGACAUAAUGGGCUGGAUAAAGGAGAAUAUCUCUUUCAAUCCAGCCUUGAGUAACUGUAGUACCUAGUGAUUCUGAUGGUUGCUAUGGCCACCUCAGAAGAGCCGGUCCAGUCCUCUCGGUGAACCUGUCCUUUUAAAAUUUCAAUGGGACUACUUUGAGUAAUUUUCCUCAUCAUGUCAGCUGCUCUGAAGAACUGCGAUGACUGUGACUGAUAUCGGUGAUGAAUCACAGAAUGUAUCCUGACAUCCUGCCCCACCUGAUUUCUGCUACUGGGAAUCUGAUUCCAUAACUUCAUUCCAUUAGCCCACCAUGACACAAUUUCUGCCUGAGUCUCUGAAAAAGAUCCUAUUGAAAGUUUUCCUGUGAUGUCAUGUUAGCAUUCAUUUCAGCGAAGCGCAUCGUUCAAGAUUUGCUGGGAUCCCUUUCGUGAAAUAACAAGAUAUCUGAUGGACUGGCAACAGGAAAGAGACAGCAUCUGGCUUGGAAGGAGGGAUCAGCGUUUCUCAUGCUACCUUUUAACUUGUUCCUACGGCAAGAUGGAUGGGGGCACAAGAAGGUCAGAUGAUCCAUCCCACUUUUAAGCUUCUCGCAGUAGGAACUCUCUGCAGAAUUGGAUUCACCUCCUUACUCUCACACUGGCCAAAACAGAAGGGGAAGCUCUACUAAGCCCUGAGCUGAACUAAGGCAGCAGCCUGUGCAAUGGUCGAUUCACAUUUUUCAGUCCAUAUCUUUUUAGUCUGCUUUCUUCAUGGAAAUUAGUCCUAUGAGAUCAUCUUGCUCUCUCUGUGUGUGUGUGUGUGUGUGUGUGUGUGUGUGUGUGUGUGUCUCCUCCUUACAACUUCACAAUGCCUGGCUUGAUUUGCACCAAAUUUGGUACAGUUGUAGUGCCAUAUAGGGAUACCACAACAGCAUAUUUUGUGAUGAUGUCAUCCACCCCAAUUCAAGAUGGUGAAUCCGUGAACUUUUGAGGUAGAAGUGGGCUAACUUGUGAACUGUCUGACUGAUUGGCACGAAACUAGGUAUACAGGUUAAGAUUAUAGAGGACCUUAAACCCUAAUAUCUCAUAAAUGAAUUCCAGGACCCAUUUCAAGAUGGUGGCUUUGUGUCUCUUUCCCCCAGUAGCUUUGCAAUGCCUGUACAAGUUUGGAUCAAAUUUAGUACAGUUGUAGUGCCCCAUAGGGACAUUUCAAAGUUGUGUUUUAGAAUGACAUCCUUCUCUCAUUGCCAUCCCCCACCUAUGCGCGGUACACCCUGUUCUUACAUAUGAGGCUAUGGUGACAUUGAGGCGGGUCUCAUGAUCAGUGAGACCCACUUUUGCUGAUACUGCGGGGAGAGCGGCCUAAGCCCGCUCUCUCUGCAGAUGAUCGCUGCA